GACGAACGCUGGCGGCGUGCCUAAUACAUGCAAGUAGAACGCUGAAGAGAGGAGCUUGCUCUUCUUGGAUGAGUUGCGAACGGGUGAGUAACGCGUAGGUAACCUGCCUUGUAGCGGGGGAUAACUAUUGGAAACGAUAGCUAAUACCGCAUAACAAUGGAUGACACAUGUCAUUUAUUUGAAAGGGGCAAUUGCUCCACUACAAGAUGGACCUGCGUUGUAUUAGCUAGUAGGUGAGGUAAUGGCUCACCUAGGCGACGAUACAUAGCCGACCUGAGAGGGUGAUCGGCCACACUGGGACUGAGACACGGCCCAGACUCCUACGGGAGGCAGCAGUAGGGAAUCUUCGGCAAUGGGGGCAACCCUGACCGAGCAACGCCGCGUGAGUGAAGAAGGUUUUCGGAUCGUAAAGCUCUGUUGUAAGUCAAGAACGGGUGUGAGAGUGGAAAGUUCACACUGUGACGGUAGCUUACCAGAAAGGUACGGCUAACUACGUG
rnacentral:rRNA from 1 species